rnacentral:tRNA from 1 species
ACCUGAAUGGUUCAGCUGGUUAAGCAUCUGACUUCAGCUCAGGUCAUGAUCUCAUGGUUUGUGGGUUUGAGCCCCACAUCAGGUU